rnacentral:rRNA from 1 species
ACGGAGGGUGCGAGCGUUAAUCGGAAUUACUGGGCGUAAAGCGCGCGUAGGCGGCUAGGUCAGUCGAAUGUGAAAGCCCUGGGCUUAACCUGGGAAUUGCAUCCGAUACUGCUUGGCUAGAAUAUGGGAGAGGGAAGUGGAAUUUCCGGUGUAGCGGUGAAAUGCGUAGAUAUCGGAAGGAACACCAGUGGCGAAGGCGACUUCCUGGCCCAAUAUUGACGCUGAGGUGCGAAAGCGUGGGUAGCGAACAGG